UCGAGCUGCAGGGACAUGCAGAGGGAAAGGGGGCCAGGCAGUGAGCGGUGGUCCUGGCCAGGGGUGGUCACAGGGACAUUUGGCUGGGGAGUCACUAUAGGUUCCAUCUGCCAUAGUUUUCCUAAAUGCCAGAGCCCAAAAAGCGCAACCCCUGACUUACUCCAUAGCUGCAAUGCGUGAGGAUGUGAUGGGCAUGGGCAGGGUCUAUCCUAGUCUCUGUGCCUCAGUUUCCCCAAGGGCCAGGUGGUUCAGGGCCAGUGUAUCUCCUGAGAUGACAAGCUGUCAACCUGCUGCAGCCUUGGCCAGCCCCGUGGGCACAGUCUCACCCUCGCUUCCCAUGCCUGGGACUUUGUGCUGGGCCCAUCCCAGUGGUCCCGAGGUGGAGGGUUCUGGGCCCUUGGGUCACUGCCCUUUUGGGGAGGGUGUCGGGGCAGGGGCUCUUGACUUCCUGCUCCACUUCGGCUUUGGGCUGGGGGUACUGUGUGCACUGAUGGAGGGAAGGGGAGCCGCAGCAGAGCUGGAAAUGACCUGCGUGGAUGUCGCAAUUCUUCAUGGAGCCUCCCGUGCACACCUGGAUGGGGACAGUGUGGGGACAGAGUGGCUGGGAGUGGAGGAACCAGGCAGUCUGGAACAUGAGGAGUGGGGGCAGCCGGCCAGGACAGGGCUGGCUGUCCUGGCCGUGGCUCCAGCCUGACCACUCCCUGCUGGUCCUCGGCCAUGGAGAUCCCACCUACCGCCUCAUGUCUGGGUCCUCUCCGCCCCCCCGCAGCUUCCGCAACUUUGACGUGGAGGAGUCCCACCAGUGCUCCCUGGACUGGCUCCUGCUGGGCCCAGCAGCCCCACCCCGCCAGGAGGCCUUCCGCCUCUGUGGCUCCGCCAUCCCACCUGCCUUCAUCUCUGCCCGCGACCAUGUCUGGAUUUUCUUCCACUCAGACGCCUCCAGCUCCGGCCAGGCCCAGGGCUUCCGUCUGUCUUACAUCCGAGGUGAUGGAGGCUGCAGGGCAGGCAGGACACCACGGAGCACACCGUGCAUGCCCACAGGCUCCCGGCCCACAGGGGCGGCACCCUCCACAGGGCCCUGGCUCCCUGUGGGAUGUCCCCUGACUGCCCUGUCAAUCUCAGGGCAGUGGCAGGACUGGGCAUGCGGAUGCCUUGGGCCUCUCAAGGUCACUGGCCCCACUUCCCAGUCUUGGCUAGUCCUGGGAACUCACCCCUAACCCCAGGCUCAGGUCAGGGACAGAGCCCACCCUGGUGUUGGAGGGGUCUCUGCUGCCACAGUGAUGGGGAACCACCUGCCCGCUUUUGGCCCCAGGCCCCCUGGCCGAAGGGAGGCUCUUCUGUCUCCUGACUGUCCCCUGCUACGUCUCCACCCCACAGGGAAGCUGGGCCAGGCAUCCUGCCAGGCAGAUGAGUUCCACUGUGACAACGGCAAGUGCCUGCCCGGCCCGUGGCAGUGCAACACGGUGGACGAGUGUGGAGACGGCUCUGAUGAGGGCAACUGCUCGGCGCCCGCCUCUGAGCCUCCCGGCAGCCUGUGCCCCGGGGGGACCUUCCCAUGCAGCGGGGCGCGCUCCACGCGCUGCCUGCCUGUGGAGCGGCGCUGUGACGGCUUGCAGGACUGCGGCGACGGCUCCGAUGAGGCGGGCUGCCCCGACCUGGCGUGCGGCCGGCGGCUGGGCAGCUUCUACGGCUCCUUUGCCUCCCCAGACCUGUUCGGCGCCGCUCGCGGGCCCUCAGACCUUCACUGCACGUGGCUGGUGGACACACAGGACUCCCGGCGGGUGCUGCUGCAGCUGGAACUGCGGCUGGGCUACGACGACUACGUGCAGGUAUACGAGGGCCUGGGCGAGCGCGGGGACCGCCUGCUGCAGACGCUGUCCUACCGCAGCAACCACCGGCCCGUGAGCCUGGAGGCCGCCCAGGGCCGCCUCACUGUGGCCUACCACGCGCGCGCCCGCAGCGCCGGCCACGGCUUCAAUGCCACCUACCAGGUGAAGGGCUAUUGCCUCCCCUGGGAGCAGCCGUGCGGGAGCAGUAGUGACAGUGACGGGGGCAGCCCGGGCGACCAGGGCUGCUUCUCGGAGCCACAGCGCUGUGAUGGCUGGUGGCAUUGUGCCAGCGGCCGAGACGAGCAGGGCUGCCCUGCCUGCCCGCCCGACCAGUACCCCUGCGAGGGUGGCAGUGGUCUGUGCUACACGCCUGCCGACCGCUGCAACAACCAGAAAAGCUGUCCCGACGGCGCCGAUGAGAAGAACUGCUUCUCCUGCCAGCCCGGCACCUUCCACUGCGGUACCAACCUGUGCAUCUUCGAGACGUGGCGCUGUGAUGGCCAGGAAGACUGCCAGGACGGCAGCGAUGAGCAUGGGUGCCUGGCCGCCGUGCCCCGCAAGGUCAUCACGGCGGCGCUCAUCGGCAGCCUGGUGUGCGGCCUGCUGCUGGUCAUCGCGCUGGGCUGCGCCUUCAAGCUCUACUCACUGCGCACGCAGGAGUACAGGGCCUUCGAGACCCAGAUGACGCGCCUGGAGGCUGAGUUCGUGCGGCGGGAGGCACCCCCAUCCUAUGGUCAGCUCAUCGCCCAGGGCCUCAUUCCACCCGUGGAGGACUUUCCUGUCUACAGUGCGUCCCAGGCCUCUGUGCUGCAGAAUCUUCGCACAGCCAUGCGGAGACAGAUGCGUCGGCACGCCUCCCGCCGGGGGCCCUCCCGCCGCCGCCUCGGCCGCCUCUGGAACCGGCUCUUUCACCGGCCGCGGGUGCCCCGAGGCCAGAUCCCACUGCUGACCGCAGCACGCCCCUCACAGACCGUGCUGGGCGAUGGGUUCCUCCAGCCUGCUCCAGGGGCUGCCCCCGACCCCCCAGCACCGCUCAUGGACACAGGCAGCACCAGGGCGGCCGGAGACAGGCCCCCCAGUGCCCCCGGCCGUGCACCGGAGGUGGGACCUUCAGGGCCACCCUUGCCCUCGGGCCUGCGAGACCCAGAGUGCAGGCCCGUGGACAAGGACAGAAAGGUCCGCAGGGAGCCACUGGCAGACGGCCCAGCUCCUGCGGAUGCACCUCGGGAGCCCUGCUCAGCCCAGGACCCGCACCCCCAGGCCUCCACUGCCAGCAGCACCCUGGGCCCCCACUCGCCAGAGCCCCUGGGGGUCUGCAGGAACCCCCCGCCCCCCUGCUCCCCAAUGCUGGAGGCCAGCGAUGAUGAGGCCCUGUUGGUCUGUUGACCGCUGGGCUCGCUGGGGACCGCCACAGCCCCGCUUUGUAACCAGGGAAUACACAGUCAUUUCU
rnacentral:sRNA from 1 species